rnacentral:rRNA from 1 species
AACGAACGCUGGCGGCAUGCCUAACACAUGCAAGUCGAACGAGACCUUCGGGUCUAGUGGCGCACGGGUGCGUAACGCGUGGGAACCUGCCCUUAGGUUCGGAAUAACUCCCCGAAAGGGGUGCUAAUACCGGAUAAUGUCUUCGGACCAAAGAUUUAUCGACUUUGGAUGGGCCCGCGUUGGAUUAGCUAGUUGGUAGGGUAAAAGCCUACCAAGGCGACGAUCCAUAGCUGGUCAGAGAGGAUGAUCAGCCACACUGGGGCUGAGACACGGCCGAGACUCCUACGGGAGGCGGCAGUGGGGAAUAUUGGAAAAUGGGCGAAGGCCUGAUCCAGCAAGGCCGCGUGAGUGAUGAAGGCCGUAGGGUUGUAAAGCUCUUUUACCCGGGAUGAUAAUGACGGUACCGAGAGAAUAAGCUCCGGCUAACUCCGUG